UACGUAGGGCGCAAGCGUUGUCCGGAAUUAUUGGGCGUAAAGAGCUCGUAGGUGGCUUGUCACGUCGGGUGUGAAGCUUGGGGCUUAACUCCAGGUCUGCAUUCGAUACGGGCUGGCUAGAGGUAGGUAGGGGGAGAACGGAAUUCCUGGUGUAGCGGUGAAAUGCGCAGAUAUCGGGAAGAACACCCGUGGCGAAGGCGGUUCUCUGGGACGGUACUGACGCUGAGACGCGAAAGCGUGGGGAGCGAACAGG
rnacentral:rRNA from 1 species